GACAGAGGGGGCAAGCGUUGCUCGGAAUCACUGGGCGUAAAGGGCGCGUAGGCGGGAUGGCAAGUCGGUCGUGAAAUCCCUGGGCUCAACUCAGGGGGGUCGGCCGAUACUGCCGUUCUUGAGGGAUGCAGAGGAGACUGGAAGUCCCGGUGUAGCGGUGAAAUGUGUAGAGAUCGGGAGGAACACCGGUGGCGAAGGCGGGUCUCUGGGCAUUCCCUGACGCUGAGGCGCGAAAGCGUGGGGAGCAAACGGG
rnacentral:rRNA from 1 species